ensembl:lncRNA
GGACAAGUGAACCUGUCACAACAGAGCCAGGUAACAAUACAACACACACUUCACAUUGUUUACACUUCACACUAGAGACACACACACACACACACACACACACACACACACACACACACACACACACACACACACACACACACACACACACACACACAUAAUUCUUUUUCUGUUUCCUCAGAUGUUCAUGAAAGUGAAGAGCAAACUGAAGCUCCUUCAGUUGAUGCCACUGGGUCACCAGAUGUCAGCGAUGAAGGUGUUGCCAUGACUGACAGCGAUGAAGGUGGUUCAGACAUCAGCGAUGAAGCUGAUGUUACAGCUGACAGCAAUGAAGGUGACGUUAAAGAUUCUCCUGAAGAAACUGAAGAGACUGCAGAGUCUGUGCCCGAAAACAGCGCCGACACCAGCACGGAGUCUGAGCCAGCACCUAAUGGUGACAAAGAAGAUGGGGGGGAGGCAUUGAGUGAUGAAGAGCAGGAAGUGAAGGAGAAGGGAGAUGAAACGAGUGAAAAAGAUACCAGUGAGGAGGAGGAGGGGGGGGAGGUGGUGCCUAUCAUAGAAGAGGACAGCAAAGAGGAAACUCCAGCUGAAGAAGACAGCCAAAUGAAUAACAGUGAGAUUGAAGACAUGGUGGAGAUAGAGGAGAAAGAGGCUGAGGAGGAAGAAACAGAAGAGGAGAAUGAGGAGGAGUUCAAAGAAGUGGAGGAGGAGAAGGAGGAAAAAGAGAACGAUAAUCAGGAUGAGCUAGGGGAGGAUAAGCAGGAUGAGCUAGGGGAGGAGAAAGAGGAGGAGGAUGAGCUAGAGGAGGAUAAGGAGGAGGACGAGCCAGAGGAGGAGGAGCUAGAGAAGGAAAAUGAAGAGAAAGAGCAAGAUGGGGAUAAAGAGGAGGAUGAGGCAGAAGAGGAGAAGGAAGAGUUAGAUAAUGAAAAGGAAGAGAAAGAGGAAGAUACGGAUGAGAAGGAGGAGCAGCGGGAGGAACUGGAGGAAGGAAAUGAGGAGGAGCAAGAGAUAAAGGAGGAGGAAGAGGAGGAGGAGGAUUUCAAGGAUGAAUCUGAAAAUGCAGAUACUGAAGAACCUGAUGAAAUUGAUGAUGGUCUGGACUCCACUGAAGCAACACCUGCUGGUGAACUGGACCAAUCAGAUGAUGCCACCCCCGUCACCAAACAGGCUACCAGUUAGAUGCUUCGCCUCUGAGCUGUGGGAGCUCAGCAACUGCAGAGCCAAGCCCACAGCCUCCACAGUGGAAUCCAGCUGCCAUGACUUCAACAACCUAAACUGCAUGAAUUUCAACGUUCAGCCAACUGUUGUUUCCUCUCCCCAUUUUCUAGCAGUGUCUGUUUUAACCUCUGGCUUCUUUGGUUUUCUCAGAUUAAAAAAGGAAAUGUCUUUCACCUGCUGACUGUCUUCUUUUCUGCCAUGUGUCUCUCUUUCCAGCUUCUUGUCUGCAGAAAUAUUAAAUCAGCUGCUGAGCUCAGAUCUGUUUUGUGUGUCUGAUUUCACACAUUAACAUGUACAUAAGUCCCUCUUUAAUUUACAGAGAAUGUUUUUAAGGACGUGAAAAACCAGUCAGUGGUGUAUACAGAGGAACUGCUAAUAAAGUUUGAAUUGUCGAAA